GUGUGCCUCUAUCUCACCAGGUUGCAAGUGCUAGUAGAUAGAUACUCGAGCUCCGACGCGAAAGUCAAACCCCGCACGAGUUGUAUCCGUAGUGGUCCCGUCCAUCGGUGUCAGAAUCGAAUCAGCCUGGGCCCGUGCUACUGGUGUAUGACCUAAACUGCUGGCGCUGCGGUGAAGCGAAGAAGAAAAAGCCCUGUCAGAAGUGGUGCCUCAGAUAUCUCAACUAAACGCAGAACGCUCGGGAGUGAUCUUAGUCUAGCGAACAGGAAAACAAGCUUUGGAAAGGGCUUUGGCCUAUACCGAGAUUGAAAAGAUUCAGUUCAUGCCGACGUGAUUCAGAUUUGCAGGGUUUGAUCGCGAAAAUGUCGAUGCAGCAGCACCAAGGUGAGGCAAGCUCGGUGGCGAUUAGUCGACUGUUUGUAUCGGAAGCCCGUUUUCUGGGAAUAUAAAACUCUGGGUGUUGGGAGUUUCGUGAUAUGCAAGUAUUUUCAAGGUAUUAAUAAAAAUCAUAAAGUUUAAUUUAAAGUGAACGGAUCAGUCGUCGAAAAUUGCAAGCAAACAACGGAAGAAAGAAGGGUGGCGUAUUUUCCAAAUCGAGAAAAUUUUGGGAAGUGUGAGUUUUCCGUCGGGGAGCUAUCAACAAUAGCAGCAAGAAGAGCCACUGUCCCAAGUUUACUUGAGAAUCUUGAAGCCCUGUUGUGUAUUGGGCUGUGCCUGUGUUCGUGUGGCAUGUCGUAAAAUAGCCAAAUGCGUGCGGGAAAAACUGAGAAGAAAGCAAUGUAAUAAAAAGGAAAACUCCAAGUCAAGAGGCGUUUUUCUGGGUGUUCGUUUUCCACCGUAACCGACCGUGUGACCCGUGCAACCGUGUGUGUAGUGGAAAAUUCAUCGGCCGCAGACCUCAGCCAUUGAGAGCGUCCAGGAGAGAGAGAAAAACGGAACGAACUUAAUUGAAAAGUGAUUCAUUAUUGUUAUUAUUGGAGGGUAGGAAUUUAAGCACCUUCACCACCCAUCGUCCGCUGCCACCCGUCGCAACAUCGCUGCCGGCCCAGAAAAGGGAUUCUAUCGCCACAGUUGGCACCCGGUUCGUGCCAAAACUCGGAGGAUAUUUCUCAAAGCAGCGUGGACGAGGCAAGCCACGAAAUCUUAUUUCUCUCCCGCGCGCGCUAUUUAAGCAAUUUCAAGAUCUCAUAAUAAUUAGUCAAUAAGCAUAGGAAAGCAACAUGACAAAGCGGUUCGAAUUCAACUGGCAGAUUCCGGUCCCGGAUGCCCUGCAGGCCGGAUGCGUCUUUGACCGGUGGUUUGAGGAUAAGGACAACACAGAAUUUGAACCUGGCUGCACAUUCAAAGUGGACGAGUAUGGGUUCUUCGUCUAUUGGAAGAGUGAAGGACGGGAAGGUGAUGUGAUCGAGCUGUGUCAAGUCAGUGACAUCCGAGCAGGAGGAAUGCCAAAGGAUCUGAAACUUUUCAACCAGGUGGUCAACAAACAUGGAGAGAACGUGGAGGAGAAAUCCCUCACCAUUUGCUCCGGAACAGACUACAUCAACAUUAACAUGCAGCACGUGAUCUGCCCGGAUGCAGCGACGGCCAAGCUAUGGCAACAAGGGCUUCGCGCAAUCACUCACAAUAACAAGAUGAAUAAUGUCUGCACUCGGACAAAUCUCAUGAAGCAUUGGAUGCGAUUAGGAUUCCUGGUGGAUCCACGAGGAAAGGUUCCAGUCAAAGUCGUUGCCAGAACAUUCGCCUCCGGUAAAACGGAAAAGCUUGUCUAUCAAAUAUUGUCAGAUCUGGGGCUGCCCAGCGGCAAAAACGAUGCCAUUGAAAGACCAGACUUCACGUUUGAAAAGUUCUACGAGUUGUACCACAAGAUCUGUCCUAGAAAUGAUAUCGAAGAGCUGUUCCGAUCGAUCACACAAGGUAAGAGCAAUACCAUCAAUAUGGACCAGUUCAUCAACUUCCUCAACGAAAAGCAACGUGAUCCUCGACUCAAUGAGAUUCUCUAUCCGCUGUAUGACGAAAAGCGAGCGCUGGAAAUCAUCAACACAUACGAGCAGGAGGAAGCAGCACGAGAAGCAAAAACCCUUACCAAAGACGGUCUUAUCCGGUACCUCAUGUCGGAUGAAAACGCGCCAGUAUUCCUCGAUCGGUUGGACAUCUACAUGGACAUGGACCAACCGUUGUCCCACUACUACAUCAACUCAUCUCACAAUACGUACCUGUCCGGCCGCCAGUUCGGCGGUAAAAGUUCCGUCGAAAUGUACCGCCAAACCCUGCUGGCCGGAUGCCGAUGCGUCGAACUGGACUGUUGGGAUGGCAAGGGCGAGGACGAGGAACCGAUCAUCACCCACGGAAUGGCCAUGUGUUCAGAUAUUUUGUUCAAGGACGUGAUAUAUGCGCUUCGUGAUACGGCAUUCGUCACCUCGGAUUAUCCUGUGAUUCUUUCAUUCGAAAAUCACUGCUGUCGAUCGCAGCAGUAUAAACUAGCAAAAUACUGUGAUGAAAUCCUUGGUGAUCUACUGCUGAAGGAGCCACUGCCUGACUAUCCGCUUGAGCCAGGAGCAGCGCUUCCGCCUCCUUCUUCCCUAAAACGUAAGAUCCUCAUCAAGAAUAAACGACUGAAACCGGAAGUGGAAAAACGAGAACUAGAGCUGUUCCUACAGGGCGAAUUCGUGGCGGAGGACGACGUCAAGGAAGACGCCAGCGCCGUGCGCAAACUGGAACCAACCGAAGAGGUAGCAGCGGUAGCGACAGUGGCAGCAUCACAAGAUGGCGGCGAAGAGGUUCCCGCAGUCCAGUAUACAGGUUCAACGACCAAUGUCCACCCAUGGCUCUCGUCGAUGGUUAACUACGCCCAGCCCAUCAAGUUUCAAUCGUUUGACUACGCCGAUAAUAAAAAUAUCCACCAUAACAUGUCUUCGUUUGCCGAGACAACCGGCAUGAAUCUCUUGAAGCAACAGGCCAUCGAUUUUGUAAACUACAACAAACGACAGAUGUCACGUAUCUAUCCCAAAGGAACCCGCGCUGAUUCGUCCAAUUACAUGCCUCAAGUAUUCUGGAAUGCCGGCUGCCAGAUGGUGUCCCUUAACUUCCAGACCUCCGAUCUACCAAUGCAGCUGAACCAAGGUAAAUUCGAGUACAACAAUAACUGCGGAUAUUUGCUAAAGCCGGAUUUCAUGCGACGAGCCGAUCGAAGUUUCGACCCAUUUGCCGACGCUCCAGUCGAUGGUGUGAUUGCCGCCUCCUGCGCCGUACAAGUCAUUGCCGGUCAAUUCUUGUCGGACAAAAAAGUUGGAACCUACGUCGAAGUCGACAUGUACGGCUUACCCUCAGAUACCGUCAGGAAAGAAUUCCGAACCCGUCUGGUCCCGGCAAACGGUCUCAAUCCGGUGUACAACGAAGAAGCGUUCCUUUUCCGAAAAGUGGUGUUGCCGGAUCUAGCCGUAUUACGAUUCGGCGUUUACGAUGAAAAUGGUAAACUACUCGGACAACGAAUCCUACCGUUGGACGGUCUACAAGCCGGCUACCGGCACAUCUCACUCCGUACCGAUGCCAACUUUCCGAUGUCAUUGCCUAUGUUAUUCUGUAACAUAGAACUUAAAAUCUACGUUCCCGAUGGCUUCGAAGAUUUCAUGGACGCGCUCUCCGAUCCUCGUGCAUUCAUGGGCGCUGCCAAAGAACGAUCGGAUAACAUGAAAGCCAUGGGCAUCGAAGAAUCAAGCUCGGGCGCCGCAGCUGACAGUAGCAAAGUGGCGAAGAAGGACGAGUACUUGGAACCACCAAUCGUAUUCGAUCCGAUUACCGUGGAAUCGCUUCGACAGGAGAAAGGCUUCCAGAAAACGGCCAAGAAACAACAGAAGGAACUGGAUAGCGUUAAGAAGAAGCAUGCCAAAGAACGGACGGGUGUACAAAAACAGCAGAAUACUGCCAUCGAAAGACUGAUCAAGGGAAAGAGCAAGGAGGAAAUCAAGGCGGAUCCAGCGAUCCGAAAGGUGAUCCAAGAGCAGAACGCCCAGUGGAGCGAAAUGAUCGAACGCCACAAGAAGGAAGAGUGGGAUCUGCUGAAACAGCAGCUGGACGAUCAGCGGGAGAUUCUGCGGAAGCUUAUGGAAACGACGCAGGCAUCCCAGAUGAAGCAACUCGAAGGCAAGCACGAGCGCGAAAUCAAAACCCUCAACAGUCUCCAGGCGAAGAUUUCCGUCGAAACUUCCAAAGAGGUGGCCAACGAUAAAACACUCAAGACCAAGGGAGAGAAGGACCGCCGGUUGCGCGAGAAAAAGCAGAACAAUAUCAAGCGGUUUAUGGACGAGAAGAAGACGGCUACCAUCAAGCAAAACCGCGAGAAGGAGAAGCUGAAAGUGACCCAUGACAAGCAACUGGAAGAGUUGGACAACGACGUUCAGAAGGUACAGAACGCAUACCGGGAGAUUGUAACGCUAGAGACGGUGGUGUAGCGCGUGCUUCGCAUGCUUCUUCAGCCCCGAACUCUGUGUCCCACCUUUCGAAAAAAAAAACCUGAUGUGCGGUGAAACAACGCGCAUCGCUGCCCGGCCAAAGAGAUGACGGGCACUGAUGGCUCACGAAUUGUGUUUCGCCCAAUUGCCAAGCUGAUCUGUGUUAUCAUCGUGUAGUAGAUUUUUUUUAAGCUUAACGAUUUUUUUUCUGUCGUUAGUUUUGUUUAUAAGUAGUCGCAUUCAAAGUCGGUUAUUUAUUUUCCCAUUAUACCUACUGUUUCAAUUUGUUGAUACGAAUCUGUAUUUGAUAAAUAAGUUCACGUGUACCUUACUUCGUUUUAUAAGUUCGAUUGCUGUAGGUUUUAAUGACCUGGACCCAGACCGCCUUAUUUUCGCUCAAAAUCAACUGAUUGACAUGUACAAAGUCGACGAGGAGGAGUACAAGAUGACCAGCAAGAUGGAAUUCUAUGCCUGAAUGUUGGAAAACGGUUCGCCUCCCCUGGACGGAACCAAAAAAUAGCCCAAGCGAAAGUGAAUGUAAACAAUCACACCACAGAAGAACUGAACUUUUUAGAUGUCUACAGCUAAGGCCAGGAUACAGCAAACAACCAUGUAAUGUAAGAAUAAAGUAACAACAAGGAAAUAAACAUCAAACGCAGAUCACAAUGUAGAUCGAACGGAAACAAACCAGUGAAACAUGUAUUAAAAAUACGAAAAACCCCAUAUUUUAGAAUAUAUAAUUAGUAAAGUUAAGACGUACUAAGAAGCUCUAUUAUCAAAGUAAGAAAUGUAUCAUUUUGAGCGAAACAAAAACUAGGUGAACCAAAAACCAAACAUGUAAGAAACAAUUACUAACUAGUAUUAGCAGAAGUGUAAACAGAACCUAUCAAAGUGUAGCAUCAUUCUAGGGCAACACAUGAAAUAAAGGGAAAAUCAAAGUGAGAUUAUUUGUUUCCUAUAGAUCAUUAUUCAUGAUGUAAAUGGCAAGGAAGUGAAGGCAGACGGGCGGUGGAGGAAAAAUAGAUGUUUUAUUGUGCUGUCUUUUCAGUGGAAAACUUUUUAGGGAUGACACGGAACAAUGGAAGCAACACAUACUUAUCGAACUAGGAAUGAGCGGGAUCAAAUGAAUUAAACUUCUAUCAGAAAGUGGAAGAGUAGCGAAGUUCAUACACAGACUCGGACAUUCACAGACACUCACUCACAGUACAUGUAGAAAACUGAGACUGUUCACCAACUAUGUGACAACCAAAAAUGCCAUACAAUAAAUAAUAUAAUGAUUUGUUAUUCAGCUUAAUCAAAUUCGAUUCAACUUCAAAUGUUCAGCAUGGUUCUUAUGUGAUCGAUAAAUCAAGUUUUAUAAUGUUCGUGCUAGAGAUACUGAUAAGGAUUUUUAAUAUGGUUGUUUUUAUUUUUGUAAAAUUCUAGAAACGAAAAUAUGUUCUUGUUAUUGCGCAUUUCGUUGGAUUCAAACCGAAAAUCACAUUUUUCACUAUGAAUUAUGCGUUAAUUAGAGAGUCAAUUAGGAAACGACCAAAGCCUAUUUCAAGUUCUUUUUACUAAAUGAAAUAUUGUGGCAUUGAACUAAAUUUAAAAGCAUGAUGUCAAAAAAUGGUAUUGACUCUUUUGUCACAUUUAUUAAGCAAUCAAAAACUAUUUUAAAUUUUGCAAACAAUCAACUGUUCUAUUUAAUUGAACCAGUGUAUUAAACUGGAAAGAGAAAUAACAAAUAACAAGUGGAAACAAUGAUAACCCCAAAAUGUAUGGAUAUAUAAACAUUGAAGUUUAUGUCAUAGUCCUUUUUUAAAUUAAUUAUAUAAACAAACCAUGUAAAGAGUUGAAUAAGAAACAAAUUUUAAAGAAUCUAUAGGCCGCAAAAACAUCAACCUAAUAUUUAGAUUUUAGAAAACAUGAGUAAAACAAAUAAAUGAGAUAGAUAUUGUAACCCUCUUCCCUCCCCUGAGCGUUAAUUCCUUCCAGCUGAAGCGACAAGUCUGUUCCAUUGAAUUCAAACUAUCCCAACAUAAGCCCAUUCCUUGUAAUCAAAUAAAAUCAAUUAAAAAACUGAAUUCAAAAUGCUGAUACAGCAAACCGGAAACAAUAUAGGAAACUUAAAUAUAUGCAACUACAAGAAUCAUGAGUGCCUAUAAUACGAAAACAUCCCUUUAUACUUUUUAUCGUGUAGCCAACCUGAUAGACGACACUAACACAUUACGUGACCGCAUCUUUUUGUAGUUUCCCAUCUCAACUGAUUAGUGUUUUAACUAAAAUACAAAGACAUUCAUUCAACGAACUCCUCACUCAUGUCAAACAUGAAUACACAUACACACAUACACUCAACCACUAUUAAGUAGGUCUUUUCCCCCGAAACAAGACAAACACGUUUUCUAGUCGUUACAUGUUAAGGAAGCCUUCUGAUAGAGGCACGUUAAAAACUGACUCCAGAGCUCCUAAAGAAUAUCACGAUAGAAAUAAAAAUGAAAAACACCUUGUGCGAAAGGAAACUCCCUAUAAUCUAAAGAAGAAGUAUUAUAAUUUCCGUCAGAAAUAUAACUAAACAGAAAAAAUAUAUAGAAUAGGAAAGCAGGCUAGGAAAGAUAUAAUCAAAACUGUAACAAAGGGCAAGAGUUAAUGAUGGAUCGCAUUGUUGUGUUUUAUUUUUAAACAAUUCCAAUUCUAAUCAGUCCGUGUGGGAAGCCAGCAUUUAGUUAUGUAGAUGAAAGAGAGUAACAGUCAGUAAGCAUUCAUCACAUGUAAAAGUUGAAAAAAAAAAUACAAGGAAAUUUAGACAAACCAAAGCAAAACAGAAAAUAAAAUGUGUAAUGAAACAUACAUUAGCAAAACAA